CCAAAACAUAUUCAGUAGUCAAUGAAUAUAGGCUAUUUAUAUGUAAGUUCCAACAGCACUAUGCAAUUAGCAGAAUGUCUGCAUAUAAUGUAAGCAACAACAUCUUCACAAUUAAAUGACCAAACCAUCUCCAUGACAACUGAGCAAACUGCAUCCAUUGAUGGAAGACCAUGAGAUGUGGGUGAAAGCUCUGGAGAAACCAACCAAGAGAUGUGGACGGGAGAGAGGACACAGAAGGGGAAGAGGAGGUGGAGCGCAGAGGCGUUAUCUCACGGCAAUCCAUCUAGAUGUCGGCAGUGUCCCCCUUAAUGUGUUGACUCAGGGUCGGACCUCCGAAGAACACCUGUGGAUUCGUGAUACAAAGAUGCUUUAUGGCCUUCUGCUAUCGCAAGGAAAACUGAAAGAAUAGGUUUCCCCGUCUCACACAGGUUCCAGCCCAGCACUAACACGCCUGUUUGCAUUACAGUCAGCUAAGCAAAUAAGUCUUCCCCUUGAAAAUCAAGUCAAUCAGACCUGUCAGCGCCGCGUGUUGCACAGCUCACGGCUCUUGAAGAUCAUCCUCGGUGUGACAAAAGAUAUGAGACAAUCUCAUGACCACCCACAACCACUGAAUCACACAGCUUGAAUGUAAAGAGGCUGACAGCGUCGAUGACUCCAUCCUGAGCAUGUGGACCCGGACAUGGCCUAAUGUGUUAGAACAGAGGUAAUUGGCUCAGUAAAUGCUGUCUUUGUUUACGUGACAUGUUAAGGCAUGGUUUAUAGGCGAGAUGAUAGAGACUGACAGGGGGAUGGGUAGGACACUCCGACCCUUGCAACACAUUAUGAGUGUGGCCCUCACACAUUUGUCACUUGUGCUUAAUCAGCCUCUUUGAAGCGCAGCAGCACUCUGCAUGAUUACAACACAUAGAAAUAAAUAGGGCCUGUUCUUAAAGACAUUGGACAUACAGUGUGUUGGACAUAUGACUAUUUCAAAGCAGGAUUAUUAGAUGAAUUUGUAUGAGAAAUCACUCUGCCUCCCUGAAGAACUGAUGUUUGGUUUAAAAAUAUGGUGACCAGUCUGGCUUUUGGUCAUCCAAGGCCUCAGCUGGGGGAGGUUCACUAGGUGGCAAUGUUCCCUUUUCCUGAGAGCCCCGUGAAGGCAACACAGCCUCAGAGUCAAACGACCCCAUCCACUGGCUGCUCACUUUUAAAUAAUGCCCUCCAUCAAGUCCAGUCGUUGCAUGAUUUAUAGCUUCGAAAUGGGACUAGAGAACAAAGCCUGAAAUGACAACCUGCAUCAGGUGUCCAAACAUCCUGGUCAACCUCACCUCUUCACCCUUUCCC